CGUCCUAUUAGCUAGUUGGUGAGGCAAUGGCUCACCAAGGCUACGAUGGGUAGGGGUUCUUAGUGGAAGAUCCCCCACACUGGCACUGAGAUACGGGCCAGACUCCUACGGGAGGCAGCAGUAGGGAAUAUUGGUCAAUGGGCGAAAGCCUGAACCAGCCAUGCCGCGUGCAGGAUGACAGCUCUCUGAGUUGUAAACUGCUUUUGUACAGGAGCAAAACAAUCCCUGCGGGGGUUCUUGAGAGUACUGUAAGAAUAAGCACCGGCUAAUUCCGUGCCAGCAGCCGCGGUAAUACGGAAGGUGCAAGCGUUAUCCGGUUUUAUUGGGUUUAAAGGGUGCGUAGGCGGCUUAUUAAGUCAGUUGUGAAAUCCUAGUGCUUAACGCUAGAACUGCGAUUGAUACUAUU
rnacentral:rRNA from 1 species